GGAGGAUGCGAGCGUUAUCCGGAUUUAUUGGGUUUAAAGGGUGCGUAGGCGGUUUAUUAAGUUAGUGGUUAAAUAUUUGAGCUAAACUCAAUUGUGCCAUUAAUACUGGUAAACUGGAGUACAGACGAGGUAGGCGGAAUAAGUUAAGUAGCGGUGAAAUGCAUAGAUAUAACUUAGAACUCCGAUAGCGAAGGCAGCUUACCAGACUGUAACUGACGCUGAUGCACGAGAGCGUGGGUAGCGAACAGGAUUAGAUACCCUGGUAGUCCACGCCGUAAACGAUGCUCACUGGUUCUGUGCGAUAUAUUGUACGGGAUUAAGCGAAAGUAUUAAGUGAGCCACCUGGGGAGUACGUCGGCAACGAUGAAACUCAAAGGAAUUGACGGGGGCCCGCACAAGCGGAGGAACAUGUGGUUUAAUUCGAUGAUACGCGAGGAACCUUACCCGGGCUUGAAAGUUAGCGACGAUUCUUGAAAGAGGAUUUCCCUUCGGGGCGCGAAACUAGGUGCUGCAUGGUUGUCGUCAGCUCGUGCCGUGAGGUGUCGGGUUAAGUCCCAUAACGAGCGCAACCCUUACCGUUAGUUGCUAGCAUGUAAUGAUGAGCACUCUAACGGGACUGCCACCGUAAGGUGAGAGGAAGGCGGGGAUGACGUCAAAUCAGCACGGCCCUUACACCCAGGGCUACACACGUGUUACAAUGGCCGGUACAGAGGGCCGCUACCAGGUGACUGGAUGCCAAUCUCAAAAGCCGGUCGUAGUUCGGAUUGGAGUCUGUAACCCGACUCCAUGAAGUUGGAUUCGCUAGUAAUCGCGCAUCAGCCAUGGCGCGGUGAAUACGUUCCCGGGCCUUGUACACACCGCCCGUCAAGCCAUGGAAGCCGGGAGUACCUGAAGCAUGCAACCGCAAGGAGCGUACGAAGGUAAUACCGGUAACUGGGGCUAAGUCGUAACAAGGUAGCCGUACCGGAAGGUGCGGCUG
rnacentral:rRNA from 1 species